AGAUUCUGGAAAACCUCACGACAGCAUCACUGUCAUUGUCAUUGUGCUUGUUACCAUUACAGUUCUCUGUAUUAUUGCAGUCUCUGCAGUUCGUUAUUGUCGAAAGAGAAGAACAUAUAAAAUAAAGAACACCAAAAAUAUAGAGAUGGAAGCUGUGGCCCAGCCUCCAAAUCCAACUAAUGAUGCUUCAGAUCCUUCUUCACUGCCCUCCUUGGUGGGAACUCACACUGGACCCACUGAGACUAUAGGCAACUCUUUACCAGAGAGCUAGUAUGCUCAGAUAGAAAAGACUGCCAGGUCCUGAAACAGUUUUCACCACCUUCACACCUUGUACAGUAUGUAAUAUAGUUUACAUACAGAGAGUUGAAAAAUAAUUUAAAUAAUUUUCUGUUAGGGUUAUGCAGAAUUACUUGAAUACUUUAUUGUUUCUAAAAACAGACUUCAACUGAAAAUCAUUUUAAAUGAUUUAAAAUCAAAUUUAAACCAUUUAAAAUCAAAUGCUAUAUCCUUGUAGAGUUGAAAAACAUUUCAAUAAUUAUUCCAUUAAGUUCAGUUCAUAAUUGUUAUUCUUUUGUUGUUGUGUAUUCAGUGUAUGAUGACUCUAACGAGCUCUGAUCGAUUUCUUGCUGAGAAACUCAUAAUAUAAGAUUUAGAUUGGAUUAAACUUUAUUGUCAUUGUCACUGCGUACAAGUACUGAGACAAUGAAAUGCAGUUUAGCAGUAUAAAGUAAGUAAAAAGAGAUCAGUCUCACAAGAUCUUUUGGCUUCAUUAAUUCAUAAAAGAUAAUUAUACAGCUUUAACUCAUGUCCAAUAAUGGUGUAUGUACCAGAAGGUGCUUUGCUUAGUUAAA